AACGUAGGAGGCAAGCGUUAUCCGGAGCUACUGGGCGUAAAGCGUGCGUAGGCGGGUUGGUAAGGGGGUGGUGAAAGCGCUCGGCUAAACCGGGCGAGUGCCAUCCAGACUGCCAGUCUAGAGGCGGAUAGAGGGGUGCGGAAUUCCGGGUGUAGCGGUGAAAUGUGUAGAGAUCCGGAGGAACACCAGUGGUGCAAACGGCGCCCUGGGUCCGAACUGACGCUGAUGCACGAAAGCGUGGGGAGCGAACGGG
rnacentral:rRNA from 1 species